UUAAUGUUUAAAAAAUUGCUCCUUUUUACGUUGGGUAUAUUUUUCUGUUCUUGUACUCAUUGUUUCUGUUCUUAUCCAAGAAAUACUGAAGUGAGACUAUAUAGAGAAAGCUCUCUGCUAAUAGGUACAUAUUUAAUUAUCAUAUAAUCUGUAGUAAAGAUAAAACACAAGAAAGAAGGUACAUCAAGGGCUUAAAGACUAUACACCAUUAAAAUGUAGCAAACUAUUUCACACUUACUGGAAAUCUCAAAUUACUAAAAAAAAAAAAAAAAAAAAGGAAUGGGAUCCCCAAGGAGUCCCUUCCAGGGCAUGCAUGUGGAGACACUCGCGUCAACCUCAUAAUGGAUAGAGAUUCAGGGAUUAUAUGAUGCUAAGAGCAACAGCCUAAUGGCUUUUGUAAAACAGUUUACACAAUAUGAACUGCCAGUUCGCUGCUGCAGUUUAGCUUUGCCGUGGUGUACAAGGUCAGAAGAUUAGAAAAUAAACGCUGCUUCUGCAGGGGCAUCUCAAGCACAAAAAUAAACCUAACUCUAUCUUAGAAAAUGAAACAAGAAAGACCAGCCCAGGACUACAGUGACUAAGGCAGGACUAUUUUUAAAUACAGAAAGAAAAAAAAGCCAAGUUUCCCCCUCCUUAACUCAUGGUUGUAUUUCUAAGCAGCUAGCUUCCUGCUCACAACAUUAAAAGGUCUUCUGAUGGAAAUACCCAUAUAAUUUACUUCUCCUUAAAGAGGUCAGUGUGAUGUGUUCGUAGCCCUCUUUAUUUUCCAAUCAAACAUUUAUAAAUAUCAACUUUCCUUUUUGUUUUUCAAAAAUCAAAUACUUCUGUUCAAAGGCAACUCUGGUUAGAGUUCAAUUCUAUAAAAACUAACAGAAAACGAUGAAAACAGAUUAGUCAUUCCUUCAGAUCCAUCUGCAAAUCCUUAUUGAUGUCUUAUUAAUGGCUUGUUAUUCGUGAAGGCUAAAUAUUUCAGACACAAGCUUUUUAAAAACAACGUAUGCUUGUUCAGAUGAAUUUUGCAGAAAUAAAACUAUAUAAGAAAAAUGCUGACAAAAUACUGAAGAAAGGAUAGAGCAUUACAUGACUGAACAAACCUCUUAAAAUUGAAGCAUCAAAGCCUUUAGCAGCUGAACAGAUUUCAGACACUUUUACCAACCGUAUUUUAAUAUCCUCAGUGGAUUUAUAAUGGAAAAUAAAUACUCAUGAUGUCCACCCAUAUUUACCCAAUCAUUGCUAUAAGCAGCCAUACAACUGCUACUGUUAUUGCUGGGGGGUUUUCACCCUAGAAAGGCCAACAUUUUGCCCAAAAAAACUUACAUACUUGAGGUUGCUUAAGACUUCUUGCAGGCUUAGAAUAAGCUUUUUAAUUUUUUUUAAUGUUGAUUUAUUUUUGAGAGAGAGACAGAGCAUGAGCAGGGGAGGGGCAGAGAGAGAGAGAGAGAGAGAGAAAGGGAGACACAGAAUCCAAAGCAGGCUCCAGGCUCUGAGCUGAGAGCACACAGCCCAAUGUGGGGCUUGAACUCACGAACUGCGAGAUCACAACCUGAGGAAGUCGGACACUCAAUGGACUGAGACCCAGGUGCCCCUAUAAUAAACUUUUUAUGUCUGUUAAAUAAUUACUAAGAAAUAAAUCUUACUUGGAGUAAACAAGGAUCUUCAGGAUAAGAAGCUUUGAAGUAAUUAACAACUCAGAAAGAAUCUCAUCACAUUUAUCAUUUUAAAAAGGUUUUAGGACUAAUGAAGGAAAUCACGGAGUGUCAUUUACCUUAUCAAAUUCAAAGAAUAAACAAGAGCUAAAAAAAAAUGAGCUUAUUUAUAAGAUCAAGUUUAAUGUAAACUGGAAAAAAGGACAGGUUCAUUAAAUACUACAAAUUAUCCCAGUUAAAAAGAAUAAAAACUCACAAAAACAGCAAGAAUUGACCCCUAUUUCCAACUUUCUUAAGCAGAAGACUCAGUCUUCAUUCAAAAACUAAAUUUUCUUUUAAGUUUAUUUAUGUAUCUAGAGAGAGAGAGGAAGAGCAUACACAGGGAGGGGGAAAAAGAGAGAGAGGGAGAGAAAAUCCCAAGCAGGCUCUGCACUGUCAGCCCGGAGGAGGGCUGGACCUCAUGUCCAGAGACCACAUGUCCAUGUGAGAUCAUGACCUGAGCCAAAAUCCAGAGCUGGAUGCUUGCUUAACUGACUGGGCCACCCAGGUGCCUGCCCCAGAAGCAUCUGUCUUCAAAACUAAUACUCACAUGAAGUACUACAAAAAACGUUUGACUUAAUGAAAUACAUUUAGAGGACAAACACGUGAAAUGUCUGCCACUUAUACCUAAAAGGAAACAAAACCCUUCACUUUCAUUGUGCUUUUACGCUACUUCUAAAAGCAUUCACCAUUUCUGUAAUUUUUAACUUCGAAGAAAAGGCAAAGACUCAUUUUAAAAAUCAGUCAUACCUGAAGAUCCAAGAGAACAAUGUACUAAUUUUAAACAAAACUAUGAACCGCCUAAGGAGUUGAAGUGUAUUUUACCAACUUAAAUAUAUAGUAUUUAAAUUCUGGUCUUAAAAUCAACCUAUCUUUAAAGAGCUUUAAGUCCAGUUUUAAAGAAGUAAUACCCCAGGCCCAUUAAUUCACAGUGAAAUAAAAAAGAAUUGGCAGCUUUUCUGUAAAUUUUUAGUCUGCAAUUAAUAAACUGAAAAAAGUUGAACUGUAAAAAUGAAUGCACCUGCUAUUUAAGUUUCUUCCUUCACUUCACCUAUAACUAGAACAUUAUGACAUUACAUAUAUAUUUUCUAAAGUACACAAACAACUUAAACAUACCUGAAUAACUUUGUCUACCUUCAGGUCUUCAAGAGAUGGGUACAGAGACAUUUUUGCAGGAUUUUUCUAAAGAAAAAACAAAAAUAAAUUUCUGCGCCCCAAAUGUCAUUGAAAUUUAAAUACUAUGCAUAGCCAGCAACAUAUAAACCAGCAAUACAUGUGAACAUGUGUAAAUUUUUAACACAGUAAGAAACAUCUGAACUGUAAGACACAUGGAAAAAUAUGAACAUCUAGCCUACACUAAAAACUGAUUACUGGUUAGCAAACUAUUUCUCCCUCCCUUACUACUACUACCAAACUGUAUCCACUGCAGAUUUUAAAUUUCCCUUCAAGGAAAAGUCCACUUCAAAAGUUUAGAAAAUCAAAGAGUACAGUUAUGUGACUUACCUAGUGUGCACAUGCACUUGGCAGAUGUGCAAUGAUCAUAUCCUAACAAAACCCUAAAAGAGUUCCUAUGCAGUAUCUAUAGAAUCUCUAUCACUAGGAAACACACACACACACACACACACACACACACAC